UUUUCAUGGUUUAUUUUAAAAUUUUAUGGCCAAAAAUGGGCUCAUCAAGGAAAAAAAUGUCAAAAUGGGAUAAUGAAUUCUACUACUACAGAGGGAUGAUCAUUUUAGGACAUCCCUGAAAUGGAAAACGGAAGGCCAAUUCAGAACUCUGGAAGUGGUUUUGCCUUGCUAAUGAUUGCAUAACCUCUUAUUUGUUCCCUUAUAUUUUGUAGUAAUAGCACAGCUGAUUCGUCUUUCAAAAUUUCCAUCUUAUUUGUUUGAAGGAGUGAUCUGUUGGAGUCUACAUGAUACCUUUUGCCUUGCUUGUUACUCCCCUUCCAAUGGUCGCUGCUUCUCAAAAUUUCCAUCUUAUUGCAGAUUGGUUGAAGGAGUGAUCCGGUCUGUAAAUAAUCUGCUCGAGAAGUUUCACCAGUCCUUUUUUCUCUAUCUUCUGACAUCUCCAAAUAGAUUUGUGUCUGUUGGAGUCUACAUGAUACCUUUUGCCUUGCUUGUUGCUCCCCUUCCAAUGGUCGCAGCUUCUCUUUUUGCUGAUGCUGGCACAAUGAAUUCAGGGAUGGAAAACAAAGAGGUCACAACUUUUCCAGCUUCUUCUGAUAUCCCUGCCAUCACAUUUGGAUCUUGGAGAUGGCUUCAUGCAGCGAAGACUGUGUUUAUUGUCCACUUUUGGGGUGCCGUUGUAACAUUGCUUCCGCACUUUCUGUCUCUAGUACCAGAUUCUGCUCCUCUGACCAACCUCAUAUGUGUUUAUUGUCCACUUUUGGGGUGCCAUUGUAACAUUGCUUCCACACUUUCUGUCUCUAGUACCAGAUUCUGCUCCUCUGACCAACCUCAUAACCUGGAUCGUGCUUUCAGCGUCCAGUCUCUUGAUCUUGCAAGUGAUUCUGGGUUCCUCCUUUACUCUUCCAUCCAUGACCCAUACUCAACGAAUGGAAUGGACUCUUUCGAAAUCAGUGACAAUUGCUGCUGCCUG
rnacentral:lncRNA from 1 species